rnacentral:lncRNA from 1 species
CAAAGGAAAAGACUUCUGAAUCAAGUUCCAAGUCAGAGUUUGAGCGUUUCAUUUUGUGUAGCCUUCUAAAGUUGGUAUGAGCAGAUGAUGAAGACUUACUUCCUGAGGCUUUCAAUCUGUUGGGGCACCAGAGUGCUCUCUUCUCCAGUGGCUACCAGGUGUCUGGAGAUCAGCCUGUCUGGCUCAUGUAAAAGUCAAGGGCUGGGGAUGAUGCUGUUUUAA